rnacentral:rRNA from 1 species
AUUGAACGCUGGCGGCAGGCCUAACACAUGCAAGUCGAACGAGUGGCGGACGGGUGAGUAAUGUCUGGGAAACUGCCUGAUGGAGGGGGAUAACUACUGCAAACGGUAGCUAAUACCGCAUACCAUCGGAUGUGCCCAGAUGGGAUUAGCGAGUAGGAGGGGUAAAGGCUCACCUAGGCGACGAUCCCUAGCUGGUCUGAGAGGAUGACCCGCCCCCCUGGAACUGAGACACCGUCCCGACUCCUACGGGAGGCAGCAGUGGGGAAUAUUGCACAAUGGGCGCAAGCCUGAUGCAGUCAUGCCGCGUGUAGGAAGAAGUCCUGCGGGUUGUAAAGUACUUUCAGCGGGGGGGCAUUACCCGCAGAAGAAGCACCGGCUAACUCCGUGCCAGCCGCGGCGGUAAUAC